CCGCCCCGCCCCGCCCCUCCGCGUGUGGGGAAACUCUUAAUUGCCUCGUUCAAUGCGGCACUUUUGUUAUGAGGAGAACGUGACGGGAGAUGUUUUUCACCGUUUAUAAACCCGACUGCAGUUUUCGUACGUGCUCGGUUUCCCAGGCAACCUGCCCACUGCAGCCUUUUCCGGUGGCUUUCCCUUCUCGCCUGUUCAUCAUCGUUUUCUCCGGGGAGGUUCCGCGGCCUGAAGCUCCUGUUUACAGCCCGGGGCCAGUGUUCGUAAAGUACUGAUCUUGGAUCAGUUUUGAGCAUUUCGCUGACGAAAGGAAAGGGUUAGGAUGCUGGUAGAAGUCGCGGCUCGCUGGUGGCUCUGUGUUCCUAACAUUAAAAGAGGGAGAGGACACACGCAGCCCCCGGGCCCUUGGCGGCGAGCGGAACACUGUGACUGGGCUGGUCUGGGUCAGGCGCAGUCCCUGUCAGACGGGGUGGACAGAAUCAGCAGCUGUUAAACUGAGGGCCAGGACUCAGCUGACGAGCCGCGGGAAGGUAGUGAGAGGUUGUGACACACGACCUACGCAAUGAACUUACCUUGCAU